CACUCCUGCGGGAGGCAGCAGUGGGGAAUCUUGCGCAAUGGGCGAAAGCCUGACGCAGCCAUGCCGCGUGAAUGAUGAAGGUCUUCGGAUUGUAAAAUUCUUUCACCGGGGACGAUAAUGACGGUACCCGGAGAAGAAGCCCCGGCUAACUUCGUGCCAGCAGCCGCGGUAAUACGAAGGGGGCUAGCGUUGCUCGGAAUUACUGGGCGUAAAGGGAGCGUAGGCGGACAUUUAAGUCAGGGGUGAAAUCCCGGGGCUCAACCUCGGAAUUGCCUUUGAUACUGGGUGUCUUGAGUAUGAGAGAGGUGUGUGGAACUCCGAGUGUAGAGGUGAAAUUCGUAGAUAUUCGGAAGAACACCAGUGGCGAAGGCGACACACUGGCUCAUUACUGACGCUGAGGCUCGAAAGCGUGGGGAGCAAACAGGAUUAGAUACCCUAGUAGUCCCA
rnacentral:rRNA from 1 species